ACGAACGCUGGCGGCAUGCCUAAUACAUGCAAGUCGAGCGGACUUGAAGAGAAGCUUGCUUCUCUGAUGGUUAGCGGCGGACGGGUGAGUAACACGUAGGCAACCUGCCCUCAAGUUUGGGACAACUACCGGAAACGGUAGCUAAUACCGAAUAGUUGUUUUCUUCUCCUGAAGAGAACUGGAAAGACGGAGCAAUCUGUCACUUGGGGAUGGGCCUGCGGCGCAUUAGCUAGUUGGUGAGGUAACGGCUCACCAAGGCGACGAUGCGUAGCCG
rnacentral:rRNA from 1 species